AGUGAACGCUGGCGGUAGGCCUAACACAUGCAAGUCGAACGGCAGCACAGUAAGAGCUUGCUCUUACGGGUGGCGAGUGGCGGACGGGUGAGGAAUACAUCGGAAUCUACUUUUUCGUGGGGGAUAACGUAGGGAAACUUACGCUAAUACCGCAUACGACCUACGGGUGAAAGCAGGGGAUCUUCGGACCUUGCGCGAUUGAAUGAGCCGAUGUCGGAUUAGCUAGUUGGCGGGGUAAAGGCCCACCAAGGCGACGAUCCGUAGCUGGUCUGAGAGGAUGAUCAGCCACACUGGAACUGAGACACGGUCCAGACUACUACGGGAGGCAGCAGUGGAGAAUAUUGGACAAUGGGCGCAAGCCUGAUCCAGCCAUACCGAGUGGGGGAAGAAGGCCUUCGGGUUGUAAAGCCCUUUUGUUGGGAAAGAAAAGCAGCAGGUUAAUACCCCGCUGUUCUGACGGUACCCAAAGAAUAAGCACCGGCUAACUUCGUG
rnacentral:rRNA from 1 species